GUGCUUACUUUGGCAGCACAUAUAUUAAAAUUGGAACGAUACAGAGAUUAGCAUGGCCCCUGCGCAAGGAUAACACACAAAUACUGGAAAUCCUGACAGCUGAG